rnacentral:rRNA from 1 species
UACGAACUGUGCAAACGUUAUUCGGAAUCACUGGGCUUACAGGGUGCGUAGGCGGCUUGCUAAGUAGGGUGUGAAAGCCCCCGGCUUAACCGGGGAACUGCGCCUUAAACUGGCGAGCUGGAGUGAGAUAGGGGUGUGCGGAACUUCCGGUGGAGCGGUGAAAUGUGUUGAUAUCGGAAGGAACGCCGGUGGCGAAAGCGGCACACUGGAUCUCAACUGACGCUGAGGCACGAAAGCCAGGGUAGCGAAC